UCAAAGGCUCUUUUCAGAGCCACCCACUUUAUCGAAGAAGGACUGU
rfam:TPA: Bos taurus chromosome 23, whole genome shotgun sequence.